rnacentral:rRNA from 1 species
UACGUAGGGUGCGAGCGUUAAUCGGAAUUACUGGGCGUAAAGCGUGCGCAGGCGGUUUUGUAAGCCAGAUGUGAAAUCCCCGGGCUUAACCUGGGAAUGGCAUUUGGGACUGCAAGGCUUGAGUGCGGCAGAGGAGACUGGAAUUCCUGGUGUAGCAGUGAAAUGCGUAGAUAUCAGAGGAACACCGAUGGCGAAGGCAGCUCGCUGGGACGUUGACUGACACUGAGGCGCGAAAGCGUGGGAGCGAACAGGG